GAGGUAACGGCUCACCAAGGCAUUGAUGGGUACGGGGUGUGAGAGCAUGCCCCCGCUCACUGGGACUGAGACACUGCCCAGACACCUACGGGUGGCUGCAGUCGAGGAUCUUCGGCAAUGGGCGCAAGCCUGACCGAGCGACGCCGCGUGCGGGAUGAAGGCCUUCGGGUUGUAAACCGCCGUCGGAGUGGAGGAAAUUCCAGGGGGUACUCCCCCUGGAUUGACUAAUACUCAGAGGAAGGACGGGCUAAGUUCGUGCCAGCAGCCGCGGUAAGACGAACCGUCCAAACGUUAUUCGGAAUCACUGGGCUUAAAGGGUGCGUAGGCGGCCCGGAAAGUUGGGUGUGAAAGCCCUCGGCUCAACCGAGGAAUUGCGCCCAAAACUACCGGGCUCGAGGAAGAUAGAGGUAAGCGGAACUUAGGGUGGAGCGGUGAAAUGCGUUGAUAUCCUAAGGAACACCAGGAGCGAAAGCGGCUUACUGGGUCUUUACUGACGCUGAGGCACGAAAGCUAGGGUAGCGAACGGGAUUAGAUACCCCGGUAGUCCUAGCCGUAAACGAUGAGCACUGGGUUGGAGGGUCCCCCAUAACCUUCUAGCCGUAGCGAAAGUGUUAAGUACCCCG
rnacentral:rRNA from 1 species